GAAAUAGCGCCACAACCGGCGUCCUUCCUGACCCUGCGAUCUAUGGCGGCCAUGGCUCCGCUCUUAUGCAGGUCAUUGCCCCAGCAUCGUCCAUGCAGCCUGCAACUCUUGCCAUGCCACCUGCAACCCCUGUCGAUAAAGCUACAACCCAGGCUGUACCCUUCCAGUCCACACGCGACACAGCCGACCAAGGACUGCUGCAACCCAAACAGCAACACCA
rnacentral:lncRNA from 1 species